rnacentral:lncRNA from 1 species
AGAAGUAUAUAAAAAAGGAAAAGUGAAUUAGGAAGAGGAUGUGUCUACCUUAUUGGAAGAUAAAGAGGAUGAUGUCGGGAUGGUGACGAAGGAUGAACGAUGAUUAAUUGAGUAUAAAGGAAGGAAUAGGGUGAAAGAUUUAAUGUGUAAAGAAGAAAUGAUGUUGAGUCGAAGAUAUACAUGUCUUUAGGGCUGGGCAUAGUUCAAUGAACUAUAAUGUAACUACAAUUAACCGUACUACAAUAUAUCUAAAAAAACUAAACUUCUUUGAACUUAAAACUAAU